GAUGAACGCUGGCGGCGUGCCUAAUACAUGCAAGUCGAGCGAACAGACGAGGAGCUUGCUCCUCUGACGUUAGCGGCGGACGGGUGAGUAACACGUGGAUAACCUACCUAUAAGACUGGGAUAACUUCGGGAAACCGGAGCUAAUACCGGAUAAUAUAUUGAACCGCAUGGUUCAAUAGUGAAAGACGGUUUUGCUGUCACUUAUAGAUGGAUCCGCGCCGCAUUAGCUAGUUGGUAAGGUAACGGCUUACCAAGGCAACGAUGCGUAGCCGAUCUGAGAGGGUGAUCGGCCACACUGGAACUGAGACACGGUCCAGACUCCUACGGGAGGCAGCAGUAGGGAAUCUUCCGCAAUGGGCGAAAGCCUGACGGAGCAACGCCGCGUGAGUGAUGAAGGUCUUCGGAUCGUAAAACUCUGUUAUUAGGAAAGAACAAAUGUGUAAGUAACUAUGCACGUCUUGACGGUACCUAAUCAGAAAGCCACGGCUAACUACGUG
rnacentral:rRNA from 1 species